GUUUGACCUCGGAUCAGGUAGGGAUACCCGCUGAACUUAAGCAUAUCAAUAAGCGGAGGAAAAGAAACCAACAGGGAUUGCCCUAGUAACGGCGAGUGAAGCGGCAACAGCUCAAAUUUGAAAUCUGGCUCUUUCAGAGUCCGAGUUGUAAUUUGCAGAGGGCGCUUUGGCUUUGGCAGCGGUCCAAGUUCCUUGGAACAGGACGUCACAGAGGGUGAGAAUCCCGUACGUGGUCGCUAGCUAUUGCCGUGUAAAGCCCCUUCGACGAGUCGAGUUGUUUGGGAAUGCAGCUCUAAAUGGGAGGUAAAUUUCUUCUAAAGCUAAAUAUUGGCCAGAGACCGAUAGCGCACAAGUAGAGUGAUCGAAAGAUGAAAAGCACUUUGGAAAGAGAGUCAAACAGCACGUGAAAUUGUUGAAAGGGAAGCGCUUGCAGCCAGACUUGCUUGCAGUUGCUCAUCCGGGCUUUUGCCCGGUGCACUCUUCUGCAGGCAGGCCAGCAUCAGUUUGGGCGGUGGGGAUAAAGGUCUCUGUCACGUACCUUCCUUCGGGUUGGCCUUAUAGGGGAGACGCCAUACCACCAGCC
rnacentral:rRNA from 1 species